AAUAACAAUUCACAGAAAUUUUAAUUUUUACAAAUCUUUUUAAGGUUUUCAAAAAAAAAAAAACAUAAUUAUGUAUAUGUAAUAGCAAAAUCACGUACCUUGGAUGCUAUUAACGGUAUGCGUGACCGUGUAUAAUGAAGUAAUUAUCUUUUUGAAAAUUAAGAUUGUUUCAUACUAGUGUGUGUCCGUGGGAUGAGACAAAACUCAAGACGGAUCACGAAUAAUGAAGAUGCAAGCACUGUUAAUAAUCAUUAUGUUAAAUAUUUAAAUACAAAUUUGUGUUUAAAACAACAAUGGAUCUACUAUCUCUUGUACUAUUAUGGGUUGAUAAUGGAUUGCACAAACGUAUACUCACACAGUUCAUACAUUAUAAAUUGGAAUCAAUUAUAUAUUUUAUCGGGAAUAACCAAGGAUUCUGUGAGGGAGAGAGAGAGUUAAACACUUUGUGGUGCACUAUAAAUUAACACCGUUCGAUACGAUUGUAAAAUAUACGAAACCAAAUGAGACCAAUGGGGAUGACUCAGAUUAACCACUAUUGAAAACCUUUGCAUAUCUAUAGAUUAAACUGUUUAGAUUCAAAAUGACGUUACAACUCGUACUAUCAGUCACGACGUUCCUACUGUUUUGCGGAUCCAUUGAAUCAGAUACCUCCGGGCACGUAAACAACUGCGUUCGGCGACCCUUUGAUAAUUGGCCAAAACACAUAAACUCAACAACUAUCGAUUGACAACGCCAAGAUACCAGGUUGAUGGUUAUCCGUAGGCACUCAUAGAAGAAUCAUCGAUUAAUUUCUCGAUCUAACGCUUAGCUUUCUCGGCAUGUCCAAUCGAAGUUUCGUUGUCACGCGAUCUGUGCGCCUUGCCGUCAUAAAGAU